CCCUUAGAUGUUCUGGGCCGCACGCGCGCUACACUGAUGCAUUCAACAAGUUCUACCUUGGCCGAGAGGCCUGGGAAAUCUUUCAAAUAUGUAUCGUGAUAGGGAUAGAUUAUUGCAAUUAUUAAUCUUGAACGAGGAAUUCCUAGUAAAUGCAGAUCAUCAUUCUGCGUUGAUUACGUCCCUGCCCUUUGUACACACCGCCCGUCGCACCUACCGAUUGAAUGAUCCGGUGAAGCCUCGGGAUUGUGCCCAGAGAACUUUAUUGUGAUUUGGGUGCGAGAACUUGUCUAAACCUUAUCAUUUAGAGGAAGGUGAAGUCGUAACA
rnacentral:rRNA from 1 species